AAAAAAAAAAUCAAAUAAAAUACCAUCAAAUAAGACCGAGAGGACGGAGGACCGGGUCGAAGCGCCCUACAAUGGGCGGCCCAGCUCUUCUGGUAGAUAUUUGCUGCCUUCUGUCCAAUACCUACACAGGCAGUUCUUGAUUUUAGGGUCAAGAAAUGAACAGGUUCCAGCGUGUGAGUGAGUGAGUGUGUCGGUUUGGUGUGACAGUGGGAAAAACAACAACAACAAAGCUACACGAAGAGAGAAACAGCACUGGUGUGUCAGCACCAGUGGAAAACGGUUUCCCUGGAUUAACCUCAGAGGGGCGUGAGUGAACUCCAGUAUCUCCUCACAGGCAGAAGGCACGAACACACCACACUGGCCUCUACUAUAAUGUAUGAACACAUUUGGCUUUAUCUAAAUCACUGUGCUCCAGUGAUAAAUAAAACUGCUUUUUGUUACAAUUAA